rnacentral:rRNA from 1 species
CCCUUAGAUGUCCGGGGCCGCACGCGCGCUACACUGAAGGAAUCAGCGUGGCUUUCUCCCUGACCCGAAAGGGUUGGGAAACCCGUUGAAUCUCCUUCGUGAUAGGGAUUGGGGCUUGAAAUUGUUCCCCAUGAACGAGGAAUUCCCAGUAAGCGCGAGUCAUAAGCUCGCGUUGAUUACGUCCCUGCCCUUUGUACACACCGCCCGUCGCUACUACCGAUUGAAUGAUCCGAUGAAUAUCAUGGAUUGAGGAUGCAAGUAGGUUCACCUAUCUUCAUCUUCGAGAAGUGAAGUAAAUCUUAUCAUUUAGAGGAAGGAGAAGUCGUAACA